rnacentral:lncRNA from 1 species
GCGCUUACCGCAAGGUUCCGCCCCUCGGCGGGCGCAGACAAUGGGGUCGCUGUGCCCGGCCGCCCCCUCCCCUCGCUCGGCGGCCCGCGCCCGCCCCCUCUCCCCAAAGCUGCUUUCAAUUUAAACGCCUCCAACCAGCGGGCGCUGCCCCGGGGGGCGCGACCGCAGCGCCGAGCGCCCCUGUAAUUUCCGCGGGGAGCUGACCGGCUCAAACACGGCCCCGCGGUGCCCCGACCGCAGGCCCCGAGACCGGAGACGGCGCCCAGACAGCCUUGCCCGGGUCGUGGGAGCGCCGCUGGGGCGGCCUCCUCGCGCGGCGCCCCGCCGCCUCCUCCAGGCAGCCCACCGCCACCCCGGGGAGCCGCUCCUCCGGGAAGCCUGCGUGCCUUCCCCAAAGUGAUGCUCCCUUGGGGCCCCUCACACCUCUGCAAGCUCAGCCCCCUUUGGGGGAGCGGGGAGGAGACGACGGGGUCAGGAGUGUCCGUUCUCUUAAUGUGCACUGUGUCUCCCGCAUCAGACUGGAGGCGACCUGAGGGCAGGGGUUCUUUCUUUGCAGACUGGGGGAACGUGAGUGAACUGACCUAUAGUUCCUGCUUGGCCUGCUGAGAAACUGGGAAGAAGGCCCUGCCUGAAUGGUCUCAGAGGAGUGGGUGGGUGUGGACACAGUGAAUUUGCCUGCAGAUCCCCUGGCUGUACCCAGGCGGGGCCAAAAGGGUAGCUGCACGCGAGGAAGAAUUUUCCGAGUGCUGGUUAAGAGGCUCCAAGGACUUGUCCAGGUUGGGCCCUGAGUGGUGCCGGUGAACAUACGUGCCAAGGCUCCCUUCUGGCCUAAAGCACUUCCUCUGUGCCCUGCUGCUUUCUGCCUAGAAGUUGUGCCCACCUACCCUCCCUCCCCAGAACUUUGGAGGGGACGUGUUUUGCUAGUACAUGAGGCGUGGCUGUUGUGGUGAGGCUAAUCAGAAGUAAUUAUGGGGGAAGGAGGGAUCCUCAGAGGGACCCCACAAAGACCACCUCAUCCGCCCUGGCCCAGCCCUGGUGGCCCUGGCCCCCAGGGCCUAAGCCUGGCUCAGCUCUGCCUGGUGAGGCUGAACCCACCAACACCACCCCUGCCCACUGCUCCCCCGCCAACCCCAGCCCCUGGAGCCACGGGGAAGCUUUGCCUCAAUCUCCCCGAAGCUGUUCCGUCCUCAUUCAUUCAGCCCACAUUCACUGGGCUUCUCCUCCAGGCCAGGGCCCGUGCUGGCACAGGAAGUAGACCGGUCCCUGCCCUCAUGGAGCAGCUCCUGGGACUCAGAGGAACACAAGCCGCCUGUGCCCAAGAGAUUUCCAAGCAUAAACGGAGGUCAAUGCCCCCCUCGCCUGCCCCGGAGGUGCCAAGGUGGUAAUUAGGCUUGGGGGUGGGUCCUGGAAGGGUGGGGGUGGCGUGGCCAUUAUCCCCAGGAGCUGAGCUGGGCAGGAGCUGUGUGGUCCAGGCAAAUGGGUGGUUUGUAGGUGGUCUGGAGAAUGAAUGAGUGAGUGUUUGGGAGGGAGGCCGGUGGGGAGGGAGCGGGGCGGGGUGGGGGUAGGGUGUGGGGAGGCAGCAGACAGAUUGGAGAGCAAAGCUGGGUAGUCGAGCCCUGGACUCACUGGUCUGGGCCCCUGCCCAUGCUCUGAGGCAUCAGCAAAGAGAGGACCGUGAGGCAGAUGGUGGGUCCCAGGGAAGCUUGCCCCUGGGCUGCUUCAGGAGGGGUGAGGGGAGAUGGGUGGAGGCCAUUCAGUGCAGCGUCCUUGGCAUGCGGUGGGGCGCUGGCCUGUGGCCCCUCCGUCCCCAUUCCCAGCCCAUGCCUAAUCCCUCUCCCCGUAGGGAAAAAUUCCUUGUUGGGCUGAGAAGGUCCUUCGAUUGGACCCCUGUCCCCGUCUCAACCUCAUGGGGGCUCUAGGUCCCCAAGAAGAUCUCUCUCUCUGACCCCCAGGAUCCUCUCACCCGCUCCUUCUCCAUAUCCGGCUGCACAAGGUAGACUGUAUCAGUUGACCUCAUCGCCCUGAGCCUUGGUUUCCUUACCUGUAAAAUGCGAGUAAUACAGCAUUUAACUGUGCAGAUGAAAUAAGCCAGUCCAAGGCCAGUGUUCCUAAAAUGGCAGUCUCAGCAAUGACUAAUGGCCCACAAGAUGCCCCGCUUGUCAGGAGGCCAGGGCUCCUCCCGGGAAGGGGUACCUAAAACCCAGGACUUGGCCGUGACCCCCGGUAUGGGGACCAGGACCCAGGCGGGCCGGCAGUGGUGUGAGCAGGUCACGGGGAAGGGGUGGGGUUGAUGGGACUGUCGGGUGGCAUCCUGCCUGGCCCCAGGCACAUUCCUCCUCCCCCGCUGCUCUCCCCACCUGCUGGCUGCCACCUGAACAGCUCACCUGGCCUCUGGAGCAAGAGAGAGUGCAGUGAGACGACCAUACAGGGCUCCUCCGAGGAGAGGAAUGAACUGAGGGCACGGGUGUGACCGGGACCGCCUGCUGAGGCUCCCUAGCUGCUGCCCUACAUGGAGGGGCUAAGCAUCUAAGUCCCGGUUUCAAUCCCAACACCCGGGGAGUAUCCUUCCCACAGGGGCUAGGCCAGACUGGGGGGGGGGGGGGCUCCCAGAGGCAGGAGUUGGGCUCUUACCAUCAGGUGGGAGGAUUCGUGAAGGGAGAGCUUAUCCUAACCUGGGCCCAAGGGGGCUAGGCUGGGGUUGGAUGGGUCAGCCUGGCACCUUCACGGGGUCAGCAGUCUCACCCCACUCCUUGCUCAGACCCCAAAUUCUCUACUAAUGGGAAAGUCCCCGGGGGAGCUGGAGAGCUUUGGAAAACCUGGGGAACGGCCCGCUGCCCUGUGAUCUGGAAACCGGUGAGGUAGGGGAGGGCCGUGUGUGUGCGCGCGCGCGCGCGCAGGCAGUCUCUGGAUCAGGGUCAUUCCCAAAUCAAUCUCCCUCCUCCUUUCCCUCCUUAAAUCCACGCAGGCUAACCCCUUCUCUCCCUCUGUUCUCUGCGCCGCCCCCCCCCCCCCCGCCCAGAAUCCUUGGCAUUUAUUGGUAGGGGUGCCACCAAGGGAGAAAGACGGCAACCUUCCUCCCUCUGACCUGCGGUCAGGCCAACCGAGCAGCCUGCAGGGGGCAGGCUGGGGUGGUUGGGACCAUGUGGCAGGGGGUGGGAUGCCGAUGACAUUCACAGCUUCCAGACACCGGCACCCAGUCUCCUAUCAGGACCUCUCCACUCUAUCCAAAUAUGGAUCGCUGGAGGGGUGGGGGGGACGUUUGAGAGAUCAGGGAGGAGGAGAGCUGAGCCAAAUGGAUUCUGGAAGGAUUCUGAGGCACUUCGGAAGUAUCUGUUGGGAGUCAUUCAGCCUGAGAGCGGACAGAGCCUGGGCAGAGGGACAAGCAGAAGACCAUCUCGCCCACCCCUGGCUUCCUCGCCAAACCUCACUAAUACCUCUCGGAGAAGGUCUCCUGAUUUAAGGUCUACGUCCACGAGUAUUCAAUGCAGCGGGCUCCACAUCCCCACCACAAAAAUAAAAACACUUCUGGGGGCGCCUAGGUGGCUCA